GAUGAACGCUGGCGGCGUGCCUAAUACAUGCAAGUCGAGCGAACAGACGAGGAGCUUGCUCCUCUGACGUUAGCGGCGGACGGGUGAGUAACACGUGGAUAACCUACCUAUAAGACUGGGAUAACUUCGGGAAACCGGAGCUAAUACCGGAUAAUAUAUUGAACCGCAUGGUUCAAUAGUGAAAGACGGUUUUGCUGUCACUUAUAGAUGGAUCCGCGCCGCAUUAGCUAGUUGGUAAGGUAACGGCUUACCAAGGCAACGAUGCGUAGCCGACCUGAGAGGGUGAUCGGCCACACUGGAACUGAGACACGGUCCAGACUCCUACGGGAGGCAGCAGUAGGGAAUCUUCCGCAAUGGGCGAAAGCCUGACGGAGCAACGCCGCGUGAGUGAUGAAGGUCUUCGGAUCGUAAAACCCUGUUAUUAGGGAAGAACAAAUGUGUAAGUAACUAUGCACGUCCUGACGGUACCUAAUCAGAAAGCCACGGCUAACUACGUG
rnacentral:rRNA from 1 species